GCCUCUGGCUGGUUUUGAGCUAUGUGCAUGACUCACUGGAAACGAUCUAGGAGAUGCAGGUGUCCUGGGAACGCGCCCUUCCUGCCACUUUCCCUGGAGUUCUUCACAACACUGUGGACUAGCAAUAUUUGGAAUUUCUUUGAAAGCCAAACUUUACAGAGUCAAGCACCCUGUCCAACACUGCCAGCUGUCCACAGAAAGAGCGGCAAGAUCAUUGCAGGCAAAUGCCAUAACUGCUAAGCCAUCCCUCCAGCCCACAAGUGUAAUUUUGAAAAUCAGAAGCUGGGAUUGGGUCCAGCUGUCAAGCAGCUAAGCUGAUGAACUGAUUAGCAGGAGCCUGAGCCGGCCGUGGUGGCACACGUCUGUGACACCAGCAUGCACUCAGAGGCACAGGA